AUGUUUGCAGGGAGAGUAAAGCACAGGACACUUCAUACAAAGGCUUCCAGGGGGUGCUUGGGUAUCCUGACUGGGGUGACUUGGAUGUACAGAGUGCUGUUAUUAGCAGUGGUAAGUCAUCAGUCUGCUAGUUUUGCUUUGGUUUUAACUUCGCUAUUGACAUAAUGUAAUAAAUAGUUCGGUUCCCUGCUACAGUCUGGUGUCCAGGUGCUGGCAUCUAAGGGUCUCAUGCAUUAUAGUGGAAAUCAUACUAAAGUUCUUAAUGUAGAAUUCCUGUGAGGUUUCCUGGCUUGUCCUUUUUCCUUUUCUGCCACAAGAUUUCAGGUACUGUUAGCCUGCAGGGCUCACUUAAGGAUAAUCCAAGGUAGUGCUUCACCAGAGACUUAAUGCUUUGUUUUGAGACCUGUGGAUAAACAGCCACAGUGGAUUUUGAAGACUUGUGUUCUAGGGAAUCGUGGAAUGUUGUAGGCUAAUACACAUAGCAGCUGUCUCCUACAGGGUUUAUAAUGAUGUUGACAAAUGUCUGACCUGAAAUCAGUAUGUGGACUACUUCAUUACUGAAAGACCCUGUAAAUGAAGUAAUACAGAAAUGAAGACACACUGUUUUACUUUAUGCAGAAUUGCUUCCUUUUUACUCCUGGAGAGCUGUCAAAAAGAAACUAAUGCUCUCACUUCUGCUUGUUAGGUCCUGGCCCUGUCUUGACUAAAUUUGGGUGAGUAUGUAUUUUUGUUUAGACCAAUAAGUUGUUAACUUGUAGCUAGUAGGAGCAUUGUUGUAACCAGUGAUGAAAUUAGAUUCUGCCAAAUGAAUGUCCGUGAUAUUACUCCUUUCCGUUCCAUUUACUCUGAGGUUACAUUCUUGCUCUGUCAGAGUUCGAAAUGGGAAAGGCAGUGUGUCC
rnacentral:lncRNA from 1 species